AUUGAACGCUGGCGGCAGGCCUAACACAUGCAAGUCGAGCGGAGCGGCGGACGGGUGAGUAAUGACUAGGAAUCUGCCUGGUAGUGGGGGAUAACAUCCGGACACGGGCGCUAAUACCGCAUACUAUCAGAUGAGCCUAUGUCGGAUGAGCUAGUGGGUGGGGUAAAGGCCUACCAAGGCGACGAACCGUAACUGGUCUGAGAGGAUGAUCAGUCACAUGUGAACGUAGACACGGGCCAGAGUCCUACGGGAGGCAGCAGUGGGGAAUAUUGGACAAUGGGCGAAAGCCUGAUCCAGCCAUGCCGCGUGUGGGAAGAAGGUCUUCGGAUUGUAAAGCACUUUAAGUUGGGAGGCGUUACCAACAGAAUAAGCACCGGCUAACUUCGUGCCAGCAGCCGCGGUAAUUC
rnacentral:rRNA from 1 species